rnacentral:rRNA from 1 species
GUGGGGAAUAUUGGGCAAUGGGCGAAAGCCUGACCCAGCAACGCCGCGUGAAGGAAGAAGGUCUUCGGAUCGUAAAGCCCUUUCGACAGGGACGAUGAUGACGGUACCUGUAGAAGAAGCCCCGGCUAACUUCGUGCCAGCAGCCGCGGUAAUACGAAGGGGGCUAGCGUUACUCGGAAUUACUGGGCGUAAAGGGCGCGUAGGCGGCUCUGUUAGUCAGGCGUGAAAUUCCUGGGCUUAACCUGGGGACUGCGCUUGAUACUGCAGGGCUUGAGGCCGAGAGAGGGUGGUGGAAUUCCCAGUGUAGAGGUGAAAUUCGUAGAUAUUGGGAAGAACACCGGUGGCGAAGGCGACCACCUGGCUCGGUUCUGACGCUGAGGCGCGACAGCGUGGGGAGCAAACAGGAUUAGAAACCCUGGUAGUCC